UGGUUGGUUUUGUCUUCAUAACCCACAAGUCUUUCGUCUUUUACUAAAGACUUCCAUGGAGAGGAACACUGAUGAGUUGAAAUAAUUUUUGGUGGGCUUUGCUGUUUGG